rnacentral:tRNA from 1 species
GCAAUAGUAGCUCAGUGUCAGAGCACCG